UUAUGGCCAUAGCACAUUGAAAGACUGGUUCUCAUAUGAUCAUCAAAAUUAAGCAAUGUUGAUCCUGAUCAGUACUUAAAUGAGUGACUGCUUGGGAAUACCAGGUGCUGUAAG